GGCUCAAUGGUCUAGUAGUAUGAUUCGCGCUUCGGGAUUUCCCCUGCCUCUCGGGCAGCUAGAUGUGCGAGGUCCCGGGUUCAACUCCCGGUUGAGCCC